CCAUCGCCUUUGCCACCCUCGAACGGGCAAAAGAAAGAAAGAGGCAGGCAUUCCUCAGGCCUUAUCUCUCUGGUUCUUUCUGCUACAUUUGACACCUUGGGAUGACUCUCACCUUCUGGAAUCUCUCUACUACCUUGGUUUCAGAAGAGUGAACCCUCUGGAUUAUCACAUGAAGCUACUUCCUGUGAGCAGCCCAGGGAUGGCCAGUCACUUGUGACCUACUUUCAGAGCUGGCAGUUCUGACUUCUAGAACAAACUCGGAACAAGCCCAUCUACAGCUGGUUGACUGAGUUUCCUUUGGGCUCCUGGCACCAGAAAGAAUUGCUCACUGGAAGGAUCAUAGGUGGCACUCAUGUCUCACUGCCCCACUCAGGCGGAGUGCGGUGACUCUCGCCUAUAAUCCCAGAAUUUUGAGAGGCCAAGGUGGGCAGCUCACUUGAGCUCAGAUGUUCGAGACCAGCCUGGGCAACAUGGCAAAACCCCAUCUCUACAAAAAAUACAAAAAUUAGCCAGGCAUGGUGGUGUGCACCUGUAGUCCCAGAUACCUGGAGGCUGAGGUGGAAGGAUCACUUGAGCCUGGGAGGCAGAGGUUGCAGUGAGCCAAGAUCACAUCACUGCACUCCAGCCUGAGUGACAGUGAGACUCUGUCUCAAAAAAGGAAAAAAGAAAAGAAAUUAAAAUUAAAUAAAUUUUAAAAAUCUUUUUUUCUUUCUUUCUUUCUUUUUCUUUUUUUCAAAGAAGUCUCCUAAGAGCCAGGCUAUUAGCACUAUCCUCCCUUUCAAGUGCUAUACAGUGAUCAGGUGAAACUGGAGAACAUCUGAGUUGGGAGAGAAUUCUAAGAUCUCAAGUGUAAAAGCUUAAUUUCACUGACUAAAAACUGAAGUCCAGAAAAGGAAAGAGGUUUUUGGCAAGGGGACACAGCCAACUGGUGGCAGAGCUGGCAAUAGAACCCAGGAUCCUUUUGACAACCCCCACCCCACAUACACACAUCCUCCCAAAGUGUGAUCUUGCUCCAAAAAGCUAGCUUCUCUCCGAGUUUUCGCGUUUCUAUCAGAAGCCCCCUCAUCCUUUUCUUUUUCUCCCCCCUUUAUGGCUAUCUAUCUUCUACAGGAAGGACAGAAGCCCUUUUCUUCUCAGUGAAUAAGAUUGGGAAUCUUGGCCGCGCGCAGUGGUUCACACCUGUAAUCCCAGCACUUUGGGAGGCCGAGGUGGGCAGAUCCCCUGAGGUCAGGAGUUCGAGACCAGCCUGGCCAACAUG
rnacentral:lncRNA from 1 species